UACGUAGGGUGCAAGCGUUGUCCGGAAUUAUUGGGCGUAAAGAGCUCGUAGGCGGUUUGUCGCGUCUGCUGUGAAAACUCGGGGCUUAACCCCGGGCCUGCAGUGGGUACGGGCAGACUAGAGUGCGGUAGGGGAGACUGGAAUUCCUGGUGUAGCGGUGAAAUGCGUAGAGAUCGGGAGGAACACCCGUGGCGAAGGCGGCCACCUGGGCCGACCCUGACGCUGAGGCGCGAAGGCGUGGGGAGCGAACGGG
rnacentral:rRNA from 1 species